UUUGUAUAAUGGGUCAGCGACUUAUAUUCUGUAGCAAGGUUAACCGUAUAGGGGAGCCGGAGGGAAACCGAGUCUUAACCGGGCGUUAAGUUGCAGGGUAUAGACCCGAAACCCGGUGAUCUAGCCAUGGGCAGGUUGAAGGUUGGGUAACACUAACUGGAGGACCGAACCGACUAAUGUUGAAAAAUUAGCGGAUGACCUGUGGCUGGGGGUGAAAGGCCAAUCAAACCGGGAGAUAGCUGGUUCUCCCCGAAAGCUAUUUAGGUAGCGCCUCGUGAAUUCAUCUCCGGGGGUAGAGCACUGUUUCGGCUAGGGGGCCAUCCCGGCUUACCAACCCGAUGCAAACUGCGAAUACCGGAGAAUGUUAUCACGGGAGACACACGGCGGGUGCUAACGUCCGUCGUGAAGAGGGAAACAACCCAGACCGCCAGCUAAGGUCCCAAAGUCAUGGUUAAGUGGGAAACGAUGUGGGAAGGCCCAGACAGCCAGGAUGUUGGCUUAGAAGCAGCCAUCAUUUAAAGAAAGCGUAAUAGCUCACUGGUCGAGUCGGCCUGCGCGGAAGAUGUAACGGGGCUAAACCAU
rnacentral:rRNA from 1 species